ensembl:lncRNA
CGCUCGCACACGCACGGCACUCCGCCGCCGCAGCGCUCUUGGAGCGGCACCGCGGCUUGCUCGGGGCUCCUCGGCUCGCGCUUCUCUCCUCAGAAAUUCAGGCAGAGCCGCGGCGGAGAGCGGGAAAGGUCCCCCUUCUGCUCUGCUGACGGAGGCUCCCACCGCCCCGGCAGAAGGAGCCCCGCUCUGCGGAGCAGAGGUAUUUAUUGACGGGCUAAUUGAAGGGAGGGAAUAGCCCCGACAUCCAGCAGCAGCACAAGUUGUGAACACGGGACCUUAAAAGCUGCUGGGACCUCCGUUUUGCUGGAGAAAGGUUUAAUAUAAAUUAAGCGGGGUGAUGAUUAACUACGGCAGCAUCUGAAGCGCGGUGAGGAGCGAGCGCUGCUCUCUGCCCUUGGAAACCAAAGCAAUCCCUUCCCGAGUGGAGAGGGAGCACUCAGCAUCCUUCCCUCGGCUGCGUCCUUCCCAGAGCUAACCCUCCGUGCUGAAAGCCGAUGGUUAGAAGUAGCAGCACAAUGCAAAAACCCUGCGGUUUGCUCCUGAAGUUCGUGUUUUUGUUAACAGAGCUUCGCCGGCUUCAAAGUUACAGGUGGUGUUUGCUAAGGUUUACGUUCGUGCUGUCACUCACACAAGUGUCGCUAUAUAUCACCCCAUGCUAAGAAAACACACUUUGUGAUUGAAGAAUGGCAUUGUGUUUGCACACGCAUUUUACAAGUAACAAAAUCCAUUUAAUUGACAUGAAAAACACGGCUGCUGCUAGUAACUUUGGGGGCAGCGUCCUGCUUGCAGCCGUAAAAAUAACUCCGGGGAGAACAAAGCGCUUCAGUGCAGAGGGCUGGCUGCGGCGGGAGCGGGGUGGGUGCCAUGCCUUCACAUAAUGAUUGUGUUUAUACACGGCAGGAAGCAUCUGUAAUCCACAGCUGCGGGUGCUCCAGCCCCGAGUCCUGAUAAAAUCUACACCUAUGCUUCUGCAUGAAUGAAAACAGGCUGCUGGACCUGACCGAAAUGCAGCCCGUGUUGGUGAAGUUUUGUGGGUGCCAUCGCCCUCCUUCCUGUUGUGCACCCCAGCGCCUGCUCUGCUCACAUCUCCAUCACACCUCGCACACCAUUUGCCCCAGUCAAGGGACACCCCAGUCAAGUGGCAUCCCCAGCUGCCCCACAACAUGGAGGCAGAGACCCCCCAGCUGCUCGCUGGAGGUUCAGCCUCUUGGCCAAAGAGUGAAGCACUUUCUCUGCCAAGUUCCCUUCUCUCAGGGUGCACAUGCACCCAAAGCAGCACUGUACUGACCUCCCUCCCCAUGCUCACCUCACUGUGCCACCCACCCUGCAGAGUGAAGCCAGCAGUACAUACUGUUCAUACAACGUUUUCAGACCACUUCAGCUCCCCUUCUCAAUCUCUGUGGAAGAGCCGUGCAACAGUUUAAGUUGGGACUUGGCAAAGCAAUGUUGCAGCUGCAGAGGAUGCACGAUGCUUAGCAGAAGUGACCUGUGACGUGGGCUCUGCUAGGUUUCACACCUGGAGCAGCACAGGUAGCAACCUGAGGCUUGCAGACGCCACUGGCAUCUGAUGCUUGUGGGUUUGUUUCAAAAAUCAUACUCUGAAUUCCGAUAGAGCUCUGCCUUCCUUCCCUGCUGCUGUGAGUGGAUGCUCCAACACAGAAGGCUGCCAGGCAGGAGUUGUGAAAAUAUGGCUGUACGAUCUUUAUUUCUUUGUUUUUGCAAAGGCUGGUUUAGAACAGUGGUAAAGGGACACAACUGUCUUAAAUUAAUCAUUUUCCUAAGUUGAAAAAUACCCUUCUUUUCCCAUAAUUAUUUUCAGUUCAAGAAUUCAAAAAUUCAGCUGCAGUGAAGUUUAAUCCAUCUCUAUAAACGCACAAGAAUGGAAAAACACGCAGCUUUUCAGAGGCUUCCAGCAAUACCCAGAAAUAUGUGUAUAAAUUUCCAAACAGCAAAUUUAAAAAGCCUGCAGAGAAAAGAAGUAAAAAAUCCUGAAUUAAAACUCUCUGUUUGUUAUUGGUGCAUGAGUUAUGCCGUAUCAGAUGUCACCCACUUUCGCUUGCCCCAGAACAACAGCUUGGACAAGUGGGAAAUAUUGGGUACUCAGUGAAAAUGGGGUGUGAUGCAGCUCCACAGCAGUCUCAGGAUGGGAGUCUCUUUACAAUGAACAAAAUGAUUUCUGUCUUUGUAUUUUUCAAAUGUUCCAACACCACAAAGUCGUGCCACAGUAGAUUAAACAGAAAAAUAACAGUUUCUGAAAUACAAUCUCCAAAAAAAUAAUUGCAGGAGAAAUAUUCAUUCCUAGUCCAAUAAAUCCCUAAUUUUAAAUGUCAGCUGCAAAGCAUAAAUCCUUUUAAUAGAUUUCAAACUGCGGUGACAAAGUUGUAAUUGUAGGGUCCAGCCCACUCGAAAGAACUGAAUGCCGUUGCUCUGUAUUAGCCACCCUUCUGGUUUAAUUUCUGUUUUUUUUCCAGGGGUUUUGUUUUGCUUUGCCUUGUUUUGGGUUUGUUCUUUUCUUUUUUUUUUUUUUUUUUUUUGGUCCUUGUUUGUUUGUUUGUUUUUGCUGCGGCAUUUUUAUCUCCUCUCUUUUAGGAAUUUUCUGUUACAUUCCUGAGCCUGGUUCUGGAAUACUUUCAUCUCAGAUUGAGCAGAAUCUUGUUUCUGUUCCUCGGUAGAUGUCUGAAGUGCAAAAUCUACUUGAUCAUAACUUUCUGUGGGGUUUACUGCAGGGUAGUCUGCACGUAAAGACCCUGAAGUCAUGUGAAAUAGGAGCCUUGACCUCAAGACACAAUAAAGUUGGCUGGUUUGGUUGUGGCUCAAAAGGUCACUUUUUUUCGGGGGCUGCCUCUGAGUGCUGUUUUAAACUAAUUAUUACCUUUGAUUUUAACUUAACGUUUGUUUAAAAAGAAAAAAAAAAGAGAGAGAGGAAAGAAGAAAAGAAAAAGAAGAAAGAAUGAAAAGGAAAUGAAAGGAAAAGGAAAAAACCCUCAGUUACUACUACUUAAACAGUUUGACUGGCAUGUAUAUCACAUUAUGGACAUAUGAAAAGACAAGAUUUCUGCCUGAGGAGCUUAUAGUGUAAAACAGACAGAAAGUACCGUGAAUAAUAAAAGCAGACAGAGCAGAGAUUUGUGUGUGUACGUGGGAAGAGUGGGGAGGUGCGUAGAAACAUAUUCAGAGCUCAGAAAUAUUCUACCAAUUGACACUGAUUAUGAUACUUUUCUUUCUUGUUCUGUUUCCAUGUACGUACGGUAAUAGCUUUGUUCUUCUCUAUUUACCUGUUUUUUCAGUGAGAUAUUCUAUCACAGGAGAUCACCUGCUUUCUUUUUCUGUUCUAGGUUCUAGGACAAUGGGUAACACACAUACAUCUUUAUUUUUCUACUCGGCCAUAACAUAUGACACCGAAAUCCCCCCCUCAAAAUGUUAUAUCUGCUUCCCUUGGCAGGGUUUCCCUAGUAAUCCACAGUGACUCACCACUGCAAAGUACAAUUCUCACUUAACAGAAAAUAAAAAUGAGCUUGAAAUUUUGGACUUCUGACUCUACCAUCCCCUAACAAAUGCCAUCUUUAGAAGCCCCAGUCCAGCUAAGACUGGCAGCAAUUGGACGCCUGUGGCUGUGCAAUGCCCCUCGCCUACAUGGAGACUCCGGGCAAAGUCUGCACCCUCCUGCACAAUCAAUGUCUUCACAUUAAAGGAGAAAAAAAAAAAGUGCAUAUUCAGAAGAGAAUUCUAAUGUAAGAAUUCUUCUGCUAGUAGUAAGACUUCAGCAACUUAAAGCUAUGUUGCACUGUGGAAAAAGUGAGAAUAUUGGCUCAUCUAUUAAGACAUCUCAGAUCUCAGCCCUUCUGAAUGAACAUUGAUCAAUGCUGUUUCUUAAUUUGAUGUAGUCUUUUUUUUUUCCCAUUAUUUUUUACAUACGUGAAAUUGAAAAAGAAAAAUUGAGCAGGAAUGAUCACAACCGAUUUACUGCCCUGGAAGAAGAAGGUGCCCUGUAUUACUUUGAUUUGUGAAAUCGUGCGUUUUAUAAAAAGCCACUUUUCACAUGUAAGCAAGAUCUUUCAAUAUUUCAGAAGACAAUGGCACAACCUCUGGAGAAUAAAGGCAUUGAAAGAAGUAGCUAAGAGGAAGACAAACACAGCACAGUUUGUGGGAAUUAGCACCCUUUACAAAGCCUAGAUGAGGGCAGAAACACACUGAAUCACAUUCUUCCAACGCGAUAAUUUUUACUCUUGUUCACACAACUGAAUAGCCAAUAAGCACGAAUCUCCUCCCGAACGCUUGCAGCCCGUUACGCAACGUAAAUUGGGCACAUAGGUAAUGAUUUCACGAUAUGAAGGAAGAGAAUGAUGUGCCUUGCUUGCUUGCUAGCCAAAAUGCAUUUCUGAGGCAGGAAAUCAAAAACACAUCCCAAGCCCUGCAAGUAGACUGCCCGCACUCGCCCUGCUGCCAUUAGAGGCUGUCAGGAGGCUGUCAGCUCCAGGAGCCACCGCCACCCAAGGCAAGGCUGCCCCGGUGCCUCCUCCCUGGGAGCGUGCUUUCUGAUCACCCUUCGCUAACAGACAGUGAGGAAAUAUUGCACUGCUGUUGCAGCUGCUUGGAGAACUCCUCAAAUACAGUGCAAACACCGCACUGAAACAAAGCAACGGGAGAAUGCUGCAGCAGAGACCUCAGCUGAGAGGCAAGAUGCAAGAUUUAUUAUGACACAGUGCAGAGGAUAUCUGAAAGGGAAGUCUAACCAAAGCAUUAAUGUGUCUUUUCCUCUUUCCUUCCCUCUUCCCCCUACCCCCCAUGUUAUUUUCCUUUGCAAUUCCUAUGUAUACAUACAAAAUUGUUUCUUUUCUCAAGUGAAACGGCAUCUAAAAUGAUGAAGAAUUUUAGGAGGUGACUGUUUCCUAAGAUCUUUUCUACUUGUUUUGUUCUGUGUUCCAGUGUUCUCUACCCACAGGACUCUGAAACGCUGAGAUUUCAGCAGUUCAUAUGUCUGCCUGCCCACCUCUUUUAUUAAAGGGUUGUGUUUCUCUUCUGUCAACACCUAUUCUUUAGCAUACAUCUCUGCUAUCAUUCAGGAAAAUGUUGGCAUAACAUUUUUUUUUUCUUUUUCUUUUUUUCCUUUUAAAUUCAUUUCUGUAGCCGGGCUUUUCCUUUUAAGUCUCCUUCAUUUCUGUCAUCGGUUUCAACCCCGAAGUUCUCACUUUUGCAAGACAAUGCGCUAUUUUCACACGUGUAAAACACUGAGCAAAGUGGAAUCGCAGAUGUCACAUUUACAUGUUUAUGUUUUUUGUUUCUUUUUUUUUCUCUGCCAGUCGCUCACUUCAACUCUCCAAGCCCAAGGUACUGCAGUGGAGCUGAGAUUCCCUGCGUUCCUGCAUGCAGACCUCCAGCUUUCUGAAACGAGGCUCUUUCUGCCCUCUGUGAUGCUUGGAUAAGGCUCUGUUCUCUAAGCUCUUGAAUAAGCUGAGAUACUGCAGUAUUUGCCAGAGGAGAAGGCCACAGCACAGACACAGAGAAGAGGGAGAGAUUGUGGAUGUUUUCAUGCCUUUGUGUCCUCUUGGAGAGGUGAAGUCAAGGGGUGGCUGCUUGAAGGCUGCCCAGCAAAACAGCCAAGAGAGAGUUUGUUGAGGAUUUGGCAACACAGAUAUGCACAACUACAAUCGAAAUACAUGAUCUGAGGAAAUACACUCUUUCUUGUUGAAAACAGCAUCUUGCUGUUUCUAUCUUUGGAGUUAAUAUUUAAAGACUAGAGCUCUAAUACACUCCAAGACACUCUCUUAUUUCCUUUCAUGGGGUCACUUUACUGUAUUUUCUUGUUUAAAUAAGUUGUAAAAGAUGCAUCUGGCAGAUCCACCUUGUAAACUGAUUUUCUAACCUGGUCAUAUCAUUAUUCAGUACUAGCACUAUGUUCCACCUUGAGGUCCCAUAGAAACACCUCCAUGCCCAGCGUUCUGCUUGGGUACCAUUGCUCAGAGACCAUGAAAGCAUGAAACUGGAUACUAUCCCUGCAGGUUGGUGCAGUUAUGAUGUGGCUAAAUGAAAACAAAAUAGCUUUUGAUGCUUAUUGUUCUUUUCUCUUUUUUUUUUUUUUUUUUUGCCAUUUUUAUUCUUCACUGACUGUAAGCUCAGUAAGGAUGCAUUUCUCAAAAGGAGCUGAAGUUUCCCUUCAACAUAUUAGAAAUUCUGCAUUUCAGUGACUCCCACCAACGUUUUUAUCCCCCCUCACAAAAGCAGUCCUAUCCAAGGAUCUUAAAAAAAAAAAAAAGAAAGAAAGGUUGGUCUUUAAGUAAUACAUAUGAUAUUAGUUUUUCCGUUUUAAAAUAAUCACAUUAUUGCAGACAUUUUAAUAGCUGUAGAGGUUGCUAUGUAUUAACAUGAUUCAUGGUCCUUGACAGCAGUGUCUCUGAAAAUCCCACAGGAAUGCAAAAUACAAAACUCCACACACGUUCAAAUUUUACUGCCUGCAGCUAAAAGAGGGGAAAAAAAAACUUAAAACUGUUGAAACCCUUCAACUUUAAAAGCAUUAAUAGAUGGUCCCAGGGGAUUAAAUCUAAAUCUUAAUGUGUAAAAAUCAAGUUAAUAACCACAGAGAUUAAUAUGGUUGCAUUUGAUUAUUGUGAUAAUGCAAACAAUUAGUACUGCUAAAGUGAGAUAUAUUAGCCUCCUACUUGCCCCACACACAUCUGCAAAGCAUUGGAAAUAAAUGGAAAUAAAACAUUUUUCUCUGAAAGAUUUUUCUUCUCUCCUUUUGCCACUGUCUUAUUUUCUCUGUAGCUGACUCAUUUUUUAAAUUAUAAUUGCUAACAUUUUAUUAUUAAGCCCCUCUGUUAUACGACUCUUAUAAAAUUGGUUGCCAUAACCAUCCAUUCCAUAUUGUCAGCAAAGUAUGCAUUCCUCACCAAUACCAGUAAAUAAAUAAAUCUUCCAAUUAAACGAUGUGACUUUUCUUUUAAGUACAAAAAUGCCAGACAAAUAUUUUAACCCAAGAAAAAUACAAACUUCUUCUUAGUCCAUCGUUUAUCGUUUUAAUCCAGAAUGCCAUGGGAACAGAACUGGGCAUCUAAUCCAAUCUAUAUUAUAGGCAGAGCUGGAAGUGCCACCUAUACUUAAUGCCUGACACUUCCCAUUACAAAAUCCUCUUUUCAGUUGCAUAUAACUGUGCCAUACUUUAAGUGUUCAACUAAAACCCCCCAUGCCUGAUAUCUGCCUUGCUUUCAUUUAUUUGUUGUUUCGAAAUUUUAGCAAAAAUGGUUUAGAGAUUUCCAAGAACAAGAUUAUAGACAAUACAUUAGUUUACCGACAUCAGAAAAAGGUCUUUGCAACUGUUUAAUAGAUUAACUCAAAUAGUUCCAUUCCUUGGAGCACGGACAUCAUCUUUGGUACAGAAGAAGACCAACCCUGAUGUCACAAAUGUGAAAACAGACCAAAUUUGGCCGAAUCCUAAAGCUCAGUAGACACUUCUCAGGAAUUUGGCAGUGGCAUUCUCCAAAGACUCUGCCUCUAUCAACAGUCUGCAGUAUAUGGGCAAACUUUGCCCUUCUAUUGUUGCUCCCAAAUGUCCUGGCUGCGCAUGUUCAUAAAAUCAUCUAGGUUGGAAAAGAACAUCAAAUCCAACCAUCAACCUGACCAGUGAGUCUCACCACUAAGCCACGUC